rnacentral:rRNA from 1 species
GAUGAACGCUGGCGGCGUGCCUAAUACAUGCAAGUCGAGCGAACAGACGAGGAGCUUGCUCCUCUGACGUUAGCGGCGGACGGGUGAGUAACACGUGGAUAACCUACCUAUAAUACUGGGAUAACUUCGUGAAACCGGAGCUAAUACCGGAUAAUAUAUUGAACCGCAUGGUUCAAUAGUGAAAGACGGUUUUGCUGUCACUUAUAGAUGGAUCCGCGCCGCAUUAGCUAGUUGGUAAGGUAACGGCUUACCAAGGCAACGAUGCGUAGCCGACCUGAGAGGGUGAUCGGCCACACUGGAGCUGAGACACGGUCCAGACUCCUACGGGAGGCAGCAGUAGGGAAUCUUCCGCAAUGGGCGAAAGCCUGACAGAGCAACGCCGCGUGAGUGAUGCAGGUCUUCGGAUCGUAAAACUCUGUUACUAGGGAAAAACAAAUGUGUAAGUAACUAUGCACGUCUUGACGGUACCUAAUCAGAAAGCCACGGCUAACUACGUG